ACAAAUAAAUAUAAGGAAAACAAAUGGAAACGGAAGGACCUGAUGUAAAGAUGCAUUUCUGACAAUACAUAUGCUUCCUUAAAAGAUUGAGAAUUCUAAUUUGGAAAUAUUUCAAUUUAUGGCCUGAUAGUUAUGGAAAUACCUGGUUGUGAAUUAAUGUGUCCGGACUGGUAAUGUUGCAGUGCUUUGUGCUAUCGCUAGCUGUGAUUCAGGUGACAGGACAUCUUACAGCAGCUGACCUCUGCGACACUAACAACUCUACUUAUGUUAAUGGCUGUACAAUGCCUCUUGACCUUGACAUUUGGUACACGGACCAUUUUGAGAACGCCUGUAAAAUCCACGACAUCUGCUAUUUUUGUGGCUAUGACUUCAACAAAUCUCGCCACGAUUGUGAUUCUCGUUUCCUUGAAGAUAUGAACGCGGCGUGUUGGGAGCGAAUGACAUAUUUGGAAUUGCCUCUUUGUUUACUUUUUUCUUCUUCUUUCUACAUUAUUGUGAGGGUUAUAUCAGAGAGUUACUUCGUAGAUAAUCCGUCACCUUAUUGUUCUGUGUCAUGGGUUAAACACUGUAUGGACUGAUUAAAGAAUAUCAGCAUCAUUAUGUGAGUUGAUUAUCAAGCUAUGUCAAGGUUAUAAAGCAAUAAAAUAAAAUUCUUUGUCUUGAA